rnacentral:rRNA from 1 species
UUCUUUCGGGAAUGGAAAUGAAAUGAAAGUGGCGAACGGGUGAGUAACACGUGAGCAACCUACCUUACACAGGGGGAUAGCCGUUGGAAACGACGAUUAAUACCGCAUGAGACCACAGAAUCGCAUGAUAUAGGGGUCAAAGAUUUAUCGGUGUAAGAAGGGCUCGCGUCUGAUUAGCUAGUUGGAAGGGUAAAGGCCUACCAAGGCGACGAUCAGUAGCCGGUCUGAGAGGAUGAACGGCCACAUUGGAACUGAGACACGGUCCAAACUCCUACGGGAGGCAGCAGUGGGGAAUAUUGCACAAUGGGGGGAACCCUGAUGCAGCGACGCCGCGUGAGCGAAGAAGGUUUUCGAAUCGUAAAGCUCUGUCCUAUGAGAAGAUAAUGACGGUAUCAUAGGAGGAAGCCCCGGCUAAAUACGUGCCAGCAGCCGCGGUAAUACGUAUGGGGCGAGCGUUGUCCGGAAUUAUUGGGCGUAAAGGGUACGUAGGCGGUUUUUUAAGUCAGGUGUGAAAGCGUGAGGCUUAACCUCAUUAAGCACUUGAAACUGGAAGACUUGAGUGAAGGAAAGGAAAGUGGAAUUCCUAGUGUAGCGGUGAAAUGCGUAGAUAUUAGGAGGAAUACCGGUGGCGAAGGCGACUUUCUGGA